rnacentral:rRNA from 1 species
UGGGAAACUGCCUGAUGGAGGGGGAUAACUACUGGAAACGGUAGCUAAUACCGCAUAACGUCGCAAGACCAAAGAGGGGGACCUUAGGGCCUCUUGCCAUCGGAUGUGCCCAGAUGGGAUUAGCUAGUAGGUGGGGUAACGGCUCACCUAGGCGACGAUCCCUAGCUGGUCUGAGAGGAUGACCAGCCACACUGGAACUGAGACACGGUCCAGACUCCUACGGGAGGCAGCAGUGGGGAAUAUUGCACAAUGGGCGCAAGCCUGAUGCAGCCAUGCCGCGUGUAUGAAGAAGGCCUUCGGGUUGUAAAGUACUUUCAGCGGGGAGGAAGGGAGUAAAGUUAAUACCUUUGCUCAUUGACGUUACCCGCAGAAGAAGCACCGGCUAACUCCGUGCCAGCAGCCGCGGUAAUACGGAGGGUGCAAGCGUUAAUCGGAAUUACUGGGCGUAAAGCGCACGCAGGCGGUUUGUUAAGUCAGAUGUGAAAUCCCCGGGCUCAACCUGGGAACUGCAUCUGAUACUGGCAAGCUUGAGUCUCGUAGAGGGGGGUAGAAUUCCAGGUGUAGCGGUGAAAUGCGUAGAGAUCUGGAGGAAUACCGGUGGCGAAGGCGGCCCCCUGGACGAAGACUGACGCUCAGGUGCGAAAGCGUGGGGAGCAAACAGGAUUAGAUACCCUGGUAGUCCACGCCGUAAACGAUGUCGACUUGGAGGUUGUGCCCUUGAGGCGUGGCUUCCGGAGCUAACGCGUUAAGUCGACCGCCUGGGGAGUACGGCCGCAAGGUUAAAACUCAAAUGAAUUGACGGGGGCCCGCACAAGCGGUGGAGCAUGUGGUUUAAUUCGAUGCAACGCGAAGAACCUUACCUGGUCUUGACAUCCACGGAAGUUUUCAGAGAUGAGAAUGUGCCUUCGGGAACCGUGAGACAGGUGCUGCAUGGCUGUCGUCAGCUCGUGUUGUGAAAUGUUGGGUUAAGUCCCGCAACGAGCGCAACCCUUAUCCUUUGUUGCCAGCGGUCCGGCCGGGAACUCAAAGGAGACUGCCAGUGAUAAACUGGAGGAAGGUGGGGAUGACGUCAAGUCAUCAUGGCCCUUACGACCAGGGCUACACACGUGCUACAAUGGCGCAUACAAAGAGAAGCGACCUCGCGAGAGCAAGCGGACCUCAUAAAGUGCGUCGUAGUCCGGAUUGGAGUCUGCAACUCGACUCCAUGAAGUCGGAAUCGCUAGUAAUCGUGGAUCAGAAUGCCACGGUGAAUACGUUCCCGGGCCUUGUACACACCGCCCGUCACACCAUGGGAGUGGGUUGCAAAAGAAGUAGGUAGCUUAACCUUCGGGAGGGCGCUUACCACUUUGUGAUUCAUGACUGGGGUGAAGUCGUAACAAGGUAACCGUAGGGGAACCUGCGGUUGGAUCACCUCCUUACCUUAAAGAAGC